GGUCCCAUGGUGUAAUGGUAAGCACUCUGGUCUCUGAUUCUGGAGACCUGAGUUCAAUUCCCAUAGGGACCU
rnacentral:tRNA from 1 species